rnacentral:rRNA from 1 species
CGCGAAUAGCUCAUUACAACAGCUAAAAUCUACUUGAUCUUGACACAAUCCUACUUGGAUAACUGUGGUAAUUCUAGAGCUAAUACAUGCAUCAAAGCUCUGACCAUAGGGGAAGAGUGCAUUUAUUAGAACAAAACCAAGCGGCUUCGGCUGUAUCUGGUUGACUCAUAGUAACUGAGCUGAUCGCAUGGUCUUGCACCGGCGACGUGUCUUUCAAGUAUCUGCCGUAUCAACUUUCGAUGGUAGUGUAUCUGACUACCAUGGUGAUCACGCGUAACGGAGAAUAAGGGUUCGGCUCCGGAGAGUUCGCCUGAGAAAUCGCGAACACAUCUAAGGAAGGCAGCAGGCGCGAAAAUUACCCACUCUCAGCACGAGGAGGUAGUGACGAAAAAUAACGAGACCGUUCUCUUAUGAGGCCGGUCAUCGGAAUGGGUACAAUUUAAACCCUUUAACGAGUAUCUAUGAGAGGGCAAGUCUGGUGCCAGCAGCCGCGGUAAUUCCAGCU